GACAGAGGGUGCAAACGUUGUUCGGAAUUACUGGGCGUAAAGCGCGUGUAGGCGGCUAAGUAAGUCGGGCGUGAAAUCCCACGGCUCAACCGUGGAAGUGCACUCGAAACUGCAUAGCUAGAGUCCUGGAGAGGAAGGUGGAAUGCUUGGUGUAGAGGUGAAAUUCGUAGAUAUCAAGCGGAACACCGGUGGCGAAGGCGGCCUUCUGGACCAGUGACUGACGCUGAGACGCGAAAGCG
rnacentral:rRNA from 1 species